rnacentral:rRNA from 1 species
UAAGUCGGAUUAGCUAGUUGGUGGGGUAAAAGGCCUACCAAGGCGACGAUCUGUAGCGGGGUCUGAGAGGAUGAUCCGCCACACUGGGACUGAGACACGGCCCAGACUCCUACGGGAGGCAGCAGUGGGGAAUAUUGGACAAUGGGCGCAAGCCUGAUCCAGCCAUGCCGCGUGUGUGAAGAAGGCCUUAUGGUUGUAAAGCACUUUAAGCGAGGAGGAGGCUACUUUAGUUAAUACCUAGAGAUAGUGGACGUUACUCGCAGAAUAAGCACCGGCUAACUCUGUGCCAGCAGCCGCGGUAAUACAGAGGGUGCAAGCGUUAAUCGGAUUUACUGGGCGUAAAGCGCGCGUAGGCGGCUAAUUAAGUCAAAUGUGAAAUCCCCGAGCUUAACUUGGGAAUUGCAUUCGAUACUGGUUAGCUAGAGUGUGGGAGAGGAUGGUAGAAUUCCAGGUGUAGCGGUGAAAUGCGUAGAGAUCUGGAGGAAUACCGAUGGCGAAG